CUGAUGGGUUGUUGCUGGUUCUCUAGGGAGCAUGUGCACACCUUGUCAUCUUUAUAUCUCCACCUGUGCACUUUUUGUAGACCUUUCAGGUCUAUGUUGCUUCAUUUACCCCAAUGUAUGUUAAUAGAAUGUUGUGCCUAUAUAAUAUAUACAACUUUCAGCAACGGAUCUCUUGGCUCUCGCAUCGAUGAAGAACGCAGCGAAAUGCGAUAAGUAAUGUGAAUUGCAGAAUUCAGUGAAUCAUCGAAUCUUUGAACGCACCUUGCGCUCCUUGGUAUUCCGAGGAGCAUGCCUGUUUGAGUGUCAUUAAUAUAUCAACCUUCUCUUUUUUGAGUUGUUUGGAUGUGGGGGUUUGCUGGCAUCUUAAAUGAUUCAGCUCCCCUGAAAUGCAUUAGCAGAACAACCUGUUCAUUGGCGUGAUAAUUAUCUAUGCUAUUGAAUGUGAGGGCAGUUCAGCUUUCUAACCGUCCUCGGACAAUUCAUCAUUAAUGUGACCUCAAAUCAGGUAGGACUACCCGCUGAACUUAAGCAUAUCAAUAGNCGGAGGAACUUGGUCAUUUAGAGGAAGUAAGCGGAGGA
rnacentral:rRNA from 1 species